rnacentral:rRNA from 1 species
ACCCUGAUCUAGCCAUGCCGCGUGUGUGAUGAAGGCCCUAGGGUCGUAAAGCACUUUCGCCAGAGAUGAUAAUGACAGUAUCUGGUAAAGAAACCCCGGCUAACUCCGUGCCAGCAGCCGCGGUAAUACGGAGGGGGUUAGCGUUGUUCGGAAUUACUGGGCGUAAAGCGCACGUAGGCGGAUUAGUAAGUUAGAGGUGAAAUCCCAGGGCUCAACCCUGGAACUGCCUUUAAUACUGCUAGUCUUGAGUUCGAGAGAGGUAAGUGGAAUUCCCAGUGUAGAGGUGAAAUUCGUAGAUAUUCGGAGGAACACCAGUGGC